UACGGGGGGGGCAAGCGUUGUUCGGAAUUACUGGACGUAAAGGGCUCGUAGGCGGCCAACUAAGUCGGACGUGAAAUCCCCAGGCUCAACCUGGGAACUGCGUCUGAUACUGGAUGGCUUGAGUUCGGGAGAGGGAUGCGGAAUUCCAGGUGUAGCGGUGAAAUGCGUAGAUAUCUGGAGGAACACCGGUGGCGAAGGCGGCAUCCUGGACCGACACUGACGCUGAGGAGCGAAAGCCAGGGGAGCAAACGGG
rnacentral:rRNA from 1 species